rnacentral:rRNA from 1 species
CUACGGGUCGCUGCAGUGAGGAAUAUUGGACAAUGGAGGCAACUCUGAUCCAGCCAUGCCGCGUGCAGGAAGACUGCCCUAUGGGUUGUAAACUGCUUUUAUACAGGGAGAACACCAUUACGUGUAAUGGUUUGACGGUACUGUAUGAAUAAGCACCGGCUAACUCCGUGCCAGCAGCCGCGGUAAUACGGAGGGUGCAAGCGUUAUCCGGAUUCAUUGGGUUUAAAGGGUGCGUAGGCUGCGCAUUAAGUCAGUGGUGAAAGCAUGGGGCUCAACCCCGUAACUGCCAUUGAUACUGAUGUGCUUGAAUUUAUUCGACGAGAGAGGAAUGCGACAAGUAGCGGUGAAAUGCAUAGAUAUGUCGCAGAACACCGAUAGCGAAGGCAUCUCUCGAGGGUAUAAUUGACGCUGAGGCACGAAAGCGUGGGUAGCAAACAGGAUUAGAUACCCCUGUAGUC